UACGGGGGGGGCAAGCGUUGUUCGGAAUUACUGGGCGUAAAGGGCUCGUAGGCGGCCAACUAAGUCAGACGUGAAAUCCCCAGGCUUAACCUGGGAACUGCGUCUGAUACUGGAUGGCUUGAGUUUGGGAGAGGGAUGCGGAAUUCCAGGUGUAGCGGUGGAAUGCGUAGAGAUCCGGAAGAACACCGGUGGCGAAGGCGGCCUGCUGGGACAUGGCUGACGCUGAGGCGCGACAGCGUGGGGAGCAAACAGG
rnacentral:rRNA from 1 species